CAGCGCUCAGCGCCGCCGCUUGUUGCCAUGGGGACGUCGCGGCCCGAACUCGUGGCCGUCGGAGUGGGGGAUGGGCGCGGCGGCGGUAGGCGCUGCUGCCCUGUGGGGGGUUCCUCGGCUGCCUUCAACCUCGCCCCGCGCGAGCGCGACCUCGCUAUCCCGCAGUUAUGCGUCCAGUGCCCCCUCUAUUCUGGGUCCUUUCCUCAUUGUAGUCCCACUGCCCUACCCCAGGGCCCGGCACCCAAGCUGCAGCCCGGAAAUACUGGUUGAAUAAAUGAACCAAAGAGAUCACGAAGGAACUGUAAACAGCUGGGAUUCAUCAUCCAGGUUCUUUAAAUCCCCUUGGCCCUCUUUCCUCUUACUCAAAUUUGAAGUGGUAUGAAAAAGAAAUAAACUUGGGGUAAAGAGAACUGCUUUUCUCUCCGUGCACCCUAGUGUCUUACAGCUGGGAGGAGCUGGAUUUCGUCGCUCAGCCCCGGUUCCUGUGGUGAUUAAUAGCAUCUGCUUGUACCUGGCUUUCCAAGCGCGAUGGGUCCUUAACUGCUAGUCAGGCGAGCGGACAGUGUUGCCUCCCUUCUGGGAGAAGGGAAGAGCUUCUAAGAGAAGCUGGAACGAAACUCAAUGGGACUGACUCCGGAUUCUUUCCUUUUUCCACCAAAUUCCAAGAGUCAUUGAUGACAGAAUUUCUGUCUCUCUUCAUUUCAUAGAGGAAAUAAUAGAAAAUAAUAUAUAUUUUCCAACUGACAUCUCGAGUGAUUUGUUUUAAGCACUUGAAUUUUGUGUUUGAUUUAUUUUAACCAAAGAAUUCCUUCCUAAUACAUGGAGGCGACUACUUAAUUCUUAAAGUCUUUUAUUUGUACUUUACUUUCAUCACUUUAAUGCUAAUUUGCUACUUUAAUAUUCCAUGAAUUUAAUGCUCAUCUACAUCCCUCCGUCCAGGUUCCAACUGAAUUUUAUAAAACCAUUAUGCUGUUUCUUGACAAAUUGAGCUUCAUAGAUGAAUUGUAUAUAGUCACCUGGGAUAUUAGUUCUAAUAAGUGUUUCAUAGCUCUCAUGUUUGCAUGAAGAGGGUGACUGUGUUCUCUUAACUUGAAACUUUUCAUUAUUCUGAAAACUCUUAGUUAUUCUUGUCUGAAUUGAAUGGGUCAAUGUAUUUUUUUUCUAACCCAAGGAAGGGAAAAUGAAACUAGCAACGAAAUUUAAUGAAAUCUCAGGAUGCCCAAGAUCACUAAGGCUAUGUAACAUUGAAUGAAAGGACAUAUUUCCAGAUUGAAUGAACCCCACCAACUACUCAGCAUCCCACAUUAAAGCAGACUCAUGCAGAAUACGUACAUCAUCAUGAAAUUUCGGAACACUGGGGACAUGCAGUCCCCUAGAAGCAUCAUGAUUUUUUUAAAAACUCACAUACAAAGGAUUGAAAAUCAGAAUAUUGUCAGACUUCUAACAGCAAGUUAAACUGUAGAACAAUGGAGCAAUGUCUUCAAAGUUCUCAGAGAAGAUGGUUUCCAACCUCUAAUCUGUACCCUAACAACUAAUAAAGUGUGAAGUUAGAAUAAGGACAGUUUCAGGCAAGCAAGAUCUCAUCAAAUUUACAUUCUAUGCAUCAUUUCUCAGAAAGCUAAAGGAGGAUGUGUUCACUAAGUAAAGAGUAAA